UACAGAGGGUGCGAGCGUUAAUCGGAAUCACUGGGCUUAAAGCGUUCGUAGGCGGGUCUGCAGGCGCGUUGUGAAAGCCCCCGGCUCAACCGGGGAACUGCUUCGCAAACCGCAGAUCUUGAGUCAAGUAGGGGCGAUCGGAACGAUAGGUGGAGCGGUGAAAUGCGUAGAUAUCUAUCGGAACGCCGAAGGUGAAGACAGGUCGCUGGGCUUGUACUGACGCUGAGGAACGAAAGCGUGGGGAGCAAACGGG
rnacentral:rRNA from 1 species